CCGCGAGGCAGGGUGAGGGGCGCCACCGAGGAAGCGCCCACCGGGCUCCCGGGGCUGCCAGGCCCCAAAUUGAGGAAGUUGACUGCCAGAUCACACUCUGUUGGCCCACGCAGAUAGAUUCCAUUCAUCCUUUCUAAUGUCUACACCAUAUUUUGGAUAACAUGCCAUCAUCUCACAUUGUGUUGAAAGAAGAAACCAGAAUGUUGGGGUUGAUGUAUGCCAUAUGGAUGAAUUUAAACAGUUUCGGCCUUGCAAUAAUUGGUAUACUUCUAAUUGCAUGUGAAAUUAUACUCUUUUUAACGAAAGAUGAAACUAUUCAGUGGCCACAUGUAAG
rnacentral:lncRNA from 1 species